rnacentral:misc_RNA from 1 species
GAUGAAGAACGUAGCGAAAUGCGAUAAGUAAUGUGAAUUGCAGAAUUCAGUGAAUCAUCGAAUCUUUGAACGCUCAUUGCGCCCGGUAGUAAUCUGCCGGGCAUGCCUGUCCGAGCGUCAUUUCAACCCUCGAACCACUAUUCGCGUAGCUGGAUCGGUGUUGGGGCACUACGGUGGAAUACCCGUAGGCCCCGAAAUGAAGUGGCGGUCCCGCCGCGGCGCCCCCAUGCGUAGUAACAUCUCGUCUCGCAUCGGGUCCCGGCGGAGGCCUGCCGUCAAGCCUAUUUUCUAAUUACAGAUGGUUUGACCUCGGAUCAGGUAGGGUUACCCGCUGAACUUAAGCAUAUCAAUAACGGAGGA